rnacentral:rRNA from 1 species
GACGAACGCUGGCGGCGUGCUUAACACAUGCAAGUCGAACGGUGAAGCGCCUUCCUUUUUGGUGGGUGUGGAUGAGUGGCGAACGGGUGAGUAACCCGUGAGUAACCUGCCCCCUUCUUCUGGAUAACCGCAUGAAAGUGUGGCUAAUACGGGAUAUUCUGGGUCUGUCGCAUGAUGGGUCUGGGAAAGAUAUUGUUUCGGUGGGGGAUGGGCUCGCGGCCUAUCAGCUUGUUGGUGGGGUGAUGGCCUACCAAGGCGGUGACGGGUAGCCGGCCUGAGAGGGUGGACGGUCACACUGGGACUGAGACACGGCCCAGACUCCUACGGGAGGCAGCAGUGGGGAAUAUUGCACAAUGGGCGCAAGCCUGAUGCAGCGACGCCGCGUGAGGGAUGGAGGCCUUCGGGUUGUGAACCUCUUUCGCCAGUGAAGCAGGCCUGCCUCGUUUGUGGGUGGGUUGACGGUAGCUGGAUAAGAAGCGCCGGCUAACUACGU